rnacentral:rRNA from 1 species
UACGGAGGGUCCGAGCGUUAUCCGGAUUUAUUGGGUUUAAAGGGUGCGCAGGCGGAUAUAUAAGUCAGAGGUGAAAUCCCACAGCUCAACUGUGGAACUGCCUUUGAUACUGUAUAUCUUGAAUUAAGUUGGAGUAGGCGGAAUGUAGCAUGUAGCGGUGAAAUGCUUAGAUAUGCUACAGAACACCAAUCGCGAAGGCAGCUUACUAAACUUACAUUGACGCUCAGGCACGAAAGCGUGGGUAGCGAACAGG